GCUAUCCAAGCAAAACCAGACUCUAUCUACUUUGUCGUUAACAGGUUCUCUUUCCUUUUACUGCUUUCACAUGUUAGUUUAUGUUUGUUGCAAUUGUAUAACAAUUAACAAUCCAGUACAUUUGUAAAAUUGGACAGAAAUAUGUAUCAAAUUGCAUGGCAGUGUACUAACAAGGAGGUCAUCACAGUAGAAUGUGAUGGGUAAUAAUAUGUUAAGUAAUUAAAACGAUUUGAGCUAUUGAGUGUUUCCUUGAACUCAUAGCCUUUCUAAUAGUACAAAAGAACAAUUUUACUACUGCUCCAAGAUUCACCCUCAAAAUCAAAAUUUUUUGAGUACUCAAAACACUCAAUUGUAGAAAUUAGGAUUCCAAGAAUGAGUAACCAUUAUCUUCCUUUAUUGAUGCACGUCUCAUUAGUAAUUAGUUAAUGGAAAAAAGAA
rnacentral:misc_RNA from 1 species